rnacentral:rRNA from 1 species
GACGAACGCUGGCGGCGUGCCUAAUACAUGCAAGUAGAACGCUGAGGUUUGGUGUUUACACUAGACUGAUGAGUUGCGAACGGGUGAGUAACGCGUAGGUAACCUGCCUCAUAGCGGGGGAUAACUAUUGGAAACGAUAGCUAAUACCGCAUAAGAGUAAUUAACACAUGUUAGUUAUUUAAAAGGAGCAAUUGCUUCACUGUGAGAUGGACCUGCGUUGUAUUAGCUAGUUGGUGAGGUAAAGGCUCACCAAGGCGACGAUACAUAGCCGACCUGAGAGGGUGAUCGGCCACACUGGGACUGAGACACGGCCCAGACUCCUACGGGAGGCAGCAGUAGGGAAUCUUCGGCAAUGGACGGAAGUCUGACCGAGCAACGCCGCGUGAGUGAAGAAGGUCUUCGGAUCGUAAAGCUCUGUUGUUAGAGAAGAACGUUGGUAGGAGUGGAAAAUCUACCAAGUGACGGUAACUAACCAGAAAGGGACGGCUAACUACGUGCCAGCAGCCGCGGUAAUACGUAGGUCCCGAGCGUUGUCCGGAUUUAUUGGGCGUAAAGCGAGCGCAGGCGGUUCUUUAAGUCUGAAGUUAAAGGCAGUGGCUUAACCAUUGUACGCUUUGGAAACUGGAGGACUUGAGUGCAGAAGGGGAGAGUGGAAUUCCAUGUGUAGCGGUGAAAUGCGUAGAUAUAUGGAGGAACACCGGUGGCGAAAGCGGCUCUCUGGUCUGUAACUGACGCUGAGCUCGAAAGCGUGGGGAGCAAACAGG